rnacentral:rRNA from 1 species
UACGUAGGGCGCAAGCGUUAUCCGGAAUUAUUGGGCGUAAAGAGCUCGUAGGCGGUUUGUCGCGUCUGCCGUGAAAGUCCGGGGCUCAACUCCGGGCCUGCAGUCGAUACGGGCGGACUUGAGUGUUGCAGGGGAGACUGGAAUUCCUGGUGUAGCGGUGAAAUGCGCAGAUAUCAGGAGGAACACCGGUGGCGAAGGCGGGUCUCUGGGCAACUACUGACGCUGAGGAGCGAAAGCGUGGGGAGCGAACAGG